CCCAUAAAUAUUAAAAGGUCCGUUUAGGUCCCUUAACUUUAUUUAAAAUAUCGGUUUGGUCCCUUUUGUUAAUUUAAUUCAAAAAAAUGUUAAGUUUACGGAACAAACUAAUACUAAUUAAAUAAGUUAAGGGACCAAACUAAUACUAAUUAAAUAAGUUAAGUUGAUUACUUAGGCGUUGAAAUGAGGCGCAUAAGCGAUUUGAAAGA
rnacentral:pre_miRNA from 1 species